CAAAACCAUCCAGUAUGGCUGUACAGGCAUUAAUUCAAUUUAGUUCAUAUAUCAAACAGAACUAUUGCAAUUAUAAGUGACAAAAUUCAGCUCUAAUCAGCUUAAUCAAAAAUGGAAAAGGAAUGCUUCACAUGCCUAGGAAGUCCAGAGGUGGACCGGCGCCAGGCAUGACUGGACGCAGAUCAGGUGAGAUCCACAAUUCAACGCAAUGGAUAUUCUCUACACCCAGAACUCCUGAACAGAAGAGAAAACAAAGCUAACAGAUCUUCCUAGAGAAUUUGGAUAGACUUGGGAGUAAUAUCCUUUCAACUUAGAACCACUUACCUGAGGCAGAAGGUCAGGAUUAUAGUGAAAAGAACUAGGACUGCUUUUCCUAGCUGAUGAAACACUGCAUAUUCUGUCUUUUCUCUUUUUGGAAAUUCACUACACUCAUUAUUAUUUUAAGGCUCUGGACAGUGGAAAACACUUAAAAGAAAUAAACAGCGUUUUGAGAUGACUGUUAGAACCUCUCUCUCCAGACCAAUGUUGUAGACGUGGUAACGAUGUAUUCCUGCAGUUAAGUGACGCAUGACUACACGUGCACAACCUGUCCCAUGCCCCAGAGCAAAAAGCAGGAGAGACACAAGGAGAUCAAGGUAAAGUGCUAAACGCUGUUUGCUGCAGUAAUGAUUGCAGCCUUAGAAGAGGUGUGGUCCGGCACAAGAUACCCUCAGCCUAGACCGUCUAUUCAUAUAAGGGAAGCUAUGGUUUCCAGUUCCUCCAUGCAAACUUGGCCACUAGGAAUUUUUCCAAGGAUUGUAUUACUGUGGUCAUUAUUCCUCAGAUCUCAGACAUUAUCGCUGCCUCGUGCUUUGAAGGAUGUUUUAUCUUCUGAUCGUGGCCUGCAAGAGGGCGGCUGAGUUCAGGCACCCUUGGAUCCUGCAGCCCUCCUCGCUUUGUCUCUGAGGAUUCACUGCCCUUCGGGACCAGGCCUCUUCCACAUUCUUCACAAGGCUGACCGCACCAUCUGAUAUAUCCUGGAUUGUCCUGGUUUAUAGCGUUCCCAGUGUAAUCAUUAAUAGGACUCCCUUUCACACUUAAAAAAUGUCCUGAUUAGGACAAUAAAUUCUAUGGUCACCCAAACCAUCAUCCUUAAUUGUUGAAUCCAAAGCCUCCUAUUGGAAUUUUAAGUUGUGUAUGUGUGUGUGCACGCCUGUGUGCACUAUGUAUGUGUGAAGUGUCCAAAUUGUUUAUAAAACAAUGUUUGAAUGUAACGUGUCUUUGAGAAUUUUUCUGAGUUCCAUUUGAGCGAUGUUCUUUUACUUGCCAGGAUUUUUCUGGCUCCCUAAAAGUUUUUAUCAAACCAGGAGUCCAGAUGGUCAGUUCAUCGGUUGCCCAGUGACAGGGGAGUCAAAGCUUGUUUCUGCAUGACUACAAUCUGUUGAAACUUAACUAGGACAGGAAGCUUUCCCAAAAGAUUGCACGAACAGAAUGUUACAGAUUCUUAAACUCUCCAAAGAUUACUCACGAACUAAGAGAGAAUCCUGUUCCUUUU
rnacentral:lncRNA from 1 species